AUUAUAGCCCGAUUUAUCAAGACCCACACUGUUUAGAGCUUCGAGAUAAUAUAUGAUCAUUUAAAUCAGACGAUUUGGUUUUAAAACCAAAAGGACAGCGUUGUGAAACUAGUCAAAUAUUAGCUUAACAACUCAAUGAUUAUUAUUAGAAAUAAUUUGAGAAAUUGAGAAAAACGGAAAAAGUUACCGAUUGCUUGAAAAUUCUUUAGUUGAUAUAUCAAUUUUUGGCUACGUGAUACCCUCCCAAUUGAAUAGAAAUGCCUGGCGAAUAUAAAAGUCAUGUCAUCACGGGGUUUUUCAUGGUGCUAGUUAAAUGCUUGUGGACGUCUUUAUAUUUGUGGUUGCUGGUGCAUGCAGCAGCAAUAUGCCCCAAAAUUGAUGCUGUUUGGAUAUCGGAAUUUUGGUCUGGCCAUUUGAAAUACUUGAUAUCAUACAAAACGCUGCUGGGAAAAGAAUGGAUCAAUGAAUUGAGUAUUCUUGCCAUAGUAAUCCCAUGUCUAUACGGACUCUUCCGCUAUUCACGCUGCUCUUUUCAUAGUUCUUAUUUAAGAGUUCAAUACGACAGCAAAUUGAAGAUCGAUUGGAUGACACUAAUUUAUUUUAUACCCUACUUGUUGACAUUUAUUUGCUGUUGGUUGAACAGCAUGAUAGUUAUAAUAACGGAAAUUAUUAUAAUUAACGAUUCGGAUCAAAAUGCAGAUCGUCAGAAUUUAUAUAGUCAAUUGGCUAUAUCUGUUUGCUUUAAAAUUCUAGUGGCUUGCAAUCUAUUAUCAGUAUGUCUACGCAUUUGGGCCAUUUUAAAGAUAUUUACAACUGAACCCGAAGGACAUCUUAUCAAUCUACAGAAUUUUGGAGAUCAUUUGAAUGUGUAUUUUCGUGUUUAGUUCGUGGGAGAAAUGCAUAAAAUGUCAAUUUCUUGUAUCCCAAAACCGUGACUAAUAAAUGUUAUAAAUGUCAAUGGAAAAUAAA